rnacentral:rRNA from 1 species
AAACGACUCUCGGCAACGGAUAUCUCGGCUCACGCAUCGAUGAAGAACGUAGCAAAAUGCGAUACUUGGUGUGAAUUGCAGAAUCCCGUGAACCAUCGAGUUUUUGAACGCAAGUUGCGCCCGAAGCCUUUUGGCCGAGGGCACGU